GUACCGGUUGUGACGCCAGUCGCAUCGCCGGGUAGCUAUGUUCGGAAGGGAUAACCGCUGAAAGCAUCUAAGCGGGAAGCCUACCUCAAGAUAAGAUUUCCCUAGGACUUUAUGUCCUCUAAAGAGCCGUUCGAGACUAGGACGUUGAUAGGUUGGAUGUGGAAGCAUAGUGAUAUGUGAAGCUGACCAAUACUAAUUGCUCGUGAGGCUUGACUAUACAACACCCAAGCAGUUG
rnacentral:rRNA from 1 species